GCGGAUAUGGUGGAAUGGUAGACACGUGGGCUUGAGGUGCUCAUGAGGAGACUCGUGCUGGUUCAAAUCCAGUUAUCCGCACCA
rnacentral:tRNA from 2 species